UACGGGGGGGCAAGCGUUGUUCGGAAUUACUGGGCGUAAAGGCUCGUAGGCGGCCAACUAAGUCAGACGUGAAAUCCCUCGGCUUAACCGGGAACUGCGUCUGAUACUGGAUGGCUUGAGUGUGGGAGAGGAAUGCGGAAUUCCAGGUGUAGCGGUGAAAUGCGUAGAUAUCUGGAGGAACACCGGUGGCGAAGGCGGCAUCUGGACACACUGACGCUGAGGCACGAAGCGUGGGGAG
rnacentral:rRNA from 1 species